UUAUUAGAAAGCAGUAUAUUAACAAAGGUGAGUUCUCCCUUUUCCAUCUCUCCCCCUCCUCUCUAUCUCCCUUAAGAGGAACAGUGCCUGGACUAUCGGAGGUCUUUGGUAAGAUCUCAGGGGUGUAGAUCUCAGGGGUGUCACUGUGUCCCAGGACAGAGCUUGGGACUAUCACAGACUCACAGGGUAGUUGAGUUGGACAGAACUUAGAGGUAACUUGGGGUAACCCUAAUCUCACAUAUGACUCCUCUCUGCAACAUUCCUGAGCUGAGUGGCAUCCACACUGCCCCACUGUCUCCAAGCCCAUCUUUAUGUUUUUGGCCGGCUCUCAGUGCCACACUCUAUAGCGCAGUGGUGCCUGGAGCCACGCUCAGCCUCCUGUUCUUUCUGUGCAUCCAUGCCUGUCCUUCCCAUCAUGUUGUUCCUAUCUACCAGGAGGGCACUGAUCAAGGGGAAGCAGAAGAUGACUUCUAAACCACUGUCCUUAGGACGUGUGCGUAGAGUAAUUCCUUUCAUCAAGAAUGCUGGCUCUCCCACUUAGGCCUAAUAAAUAUCUUUCAUCACACAGAAGAUGCAUUUUUAGAUGACUGGCUGAGGUUCAGAAUCACAGAAUUUUAGGGUUGAAGAAAGCUCCACAAUUAUCUAGUCAUUUUAGAAACAAGGAGACAGAAGUCCUCGAGAGAUCAACAAAUGACUGAAGGUCACUCUGAUGCCGCAGGCAGAGCCAGGACUUGAACACACAUCUCCUGAAGCCCAUCUGAGCGCUUGCUCACUACAUCACACAUGAUACAGAAUGUGACCCAAAGCUUGCUCUGGUGUGAAUUACGCUUGACAUGCUGGCCCCCUUGGUGCCACCCCGUGAGAUCAUCAACCCAAUGAUCAUAUUCAACAAUAUUUCCUGAGUGUGUGCUGUGUAUGGGCAGACAGGCUCCCCGCUCUCACGGGGCUUAUACACUCAAGCGAGUAAAUGAUUAAACAGUACCUGAAAGGCUGCAAGGCUCUAAUCAGCUGUCACGUUUGGGAGCUGAUUGGGACUGAGGUCAGCUUGCUCAGCUCCUGAUCCUUCACUGUACCCUUAGAAGAAAGGUGACAUAACUGGAGCUAAUGUCCCUUCUUUAAAGGCUCCUAGAAGUGUACAAUAUCAUCAUUUGAGUCAAAAGCAUCUACUGGUCUAGAAAAUAAUUCUCCUCACUUCCUUUCUAGCAUUACACUCUAAGAUAAAACAGAAACCCAAGGUCAAUAACGACAACAACAACAACACUGCUUUUAUUAAAACUCAUCAUUGCCCAUAAAAUAAAGCAGAUCUCCUGGGAAGGGUAAAGCCACAAACUAGCUACUCAUACAUGAGAGAGGCACGUUCCAGUUGACACGGUGAGAAAAAAAGCCCCAGAUGGCGGGUCUUUUUGGCAUGGACUUCCCUGCUCCGGCUGUCUAACGUGUUCCUUCACUGUGUUCAUUCUUCUUCCAUCAGAACCACUUUGGCAGUUUGCUUAUUUUCAAGGAAGGAAAAAAACAGGAAGGUUUGCAUCUGCAGGAUUCCUGCCUUCCUCCUUAGAUGCCAUGGUGCCCAUUCAAAGAGGAGGUGACUGAAAUGACCUGGAGCCUUGGGUGAAAACUUUCAAAUCUCUGUCCUGUGACAGGUUCAACACAGUCUCUUCCUCGUGAGAAAAGAAAGGGGAUUCGACUUUUGGAGGGCGUCACCUGGGCAGGAUCUGAUGCCUGAUGCAGAUUCAGAAUGUCUUUUAAGACAGGUUUUGGCAUGUGGGCUGCAGCAUGUUGCCUGGCUGCUGGCUUCAGAGUAAGUCCCGUGGGUUCACGGCCCUGUCUUCCGUCACAAGGAAUCCCUGCCAAUCUAGGGUCUGCGCACUGCUUCUGCCAGCCAAUCUCUAAUUCAGCAUAUGUACAAAGCCAAUUUUUGGACGUCAUGAUGGAGCCUGGCACCUCUGCCGCCCUCCAUAUUUGCAACGCUCACAGUGAAAUAACAAGCAAUGAGCAAGAAAGAAAAAAAGACGCCAUGAAAAGGCUUUCUAAAUUACCAGAUAAAUGGUGUAUGUACUAUAUAUGUGCAUGUGUCUCCCUCCUCCUUUCCCAACAUAAACUUACCCCAUGCCUUUCCUUGUAGUUAUUUCAUUUAGAUUUUCAAUCUGGGAUGCACUUAGCAAUAGCCAACACUGACGAAGAUAAAACCCUGCUCCCUACUGAGAACAUCUGAUUUUUAAAAUGUAGAAAUGCUGCUCUUUGCAAAGUAAGACAUUUCCCUUUUAAUUAGUUUCGAAAUACACCCAAAUAAUUUGCCACUAGGAAAUGAUACCAUUUUAGAGUACUUAAAAAUAAUUCCCAUGCACGCAAUUUGAUGAGAGGCCGAAGCUAGUGAAACCUUCAGUUCUGAGAUAAAUUGAGUUGUUUCUGUGAGGACAGCUGUCAUUGCCAUGAGAAAAUUCCCCCAACCCAAAGGCUUUGAUCAUGGCCUUCACUCGGAAAACCUGCGUUUAAGGUGUGUUUGUUGAAAUAUGUGGGAACAAUUGCUAAUUGAGUCUGGGGUGCACCCAUCUGUCUCAGCUGAAACUGUGGCUCUUCCUGUCUCCCUCCCAUCUAUAGAUUUUUUUUGCCCAUCAUCUAGUUUUCGAACAGUUCUUCAAAAGAGAACAGGUAGCCACAAAAGCUCUUUGGUGUUAUUUCACGUUGCCUUUGAAAAUAAAUACAUAUAUUGUGUCUGUAUGCUCUGCAAUCCGUGGGUCCUGAGUCCCCAGAAGGACACCUCUCAGGAGGGGCAUUUAGACUCUUCCCUGUGCACAAAUGACACAAAAUCUCUGAAUCAAAGGGAGGGGGAGACUAUGCAAUUUUCUAAUGUAUAUUUCUUCCAACGCAUGGAUUCGAUUCAUGACAAUGGCCAACUUUUCGACUAUUUUGGUGAGAUCCCUGCUCCUCUGCGCAGGUGAGCCAUGGUGGGUAGGUACGCUAGCAUGGGAUGAAUGAACCCUCCUGAACCAUACCCCAACCCCACAUACGAUGGCUCCUUUCGGGACAAAGCGAGAGUCUGAGCCUUGCAUGUAUAAAUAUAAAUAUUUCAAGAGCUUGGCUGCUGGCAAGCUUUGCACGGCAUGCAGAAGCCAAGCUUGAUUGCCCUGCCCUGGUGUGGGGCUCCCCAGGUGGCAGGGGCUGAGAGCGGGCAGAGCAGUUGGUAGGGGGUGGACGUGAGUGCCUCCAGUCAUUCCGAGUAGCCCCUGGGCUGAUUAGUGACAAGGGCUGACAGGCUCCUAAGGGGAGGUCCUGUCCAGUUUCUUUCUGCAGCAGGGAUGAUGGGCCAUGCAUGGGGUCCUGAAGCAGAGACUGGGGACUUUUUUGUGUGACUGUGACUACAAUCCUCAUCAACAAGACCACGCUCAUGGUCUCUUUGGAGGCCAUUGACUCGCUGGAGGAUUACCAUUAAGGGGCGUCUGCUCAGUGGCGCCAGGUCCUUUCCCCACCCCUCAGGGGCUCCGCCCAAGCCAGACAGAAGGGCAGGGCACUAGCUCUGGGAAUUAGAGAGGGGAAUCGAUAUGUGUAUACGGAACACAGUCACGGACAAUUGAAAAGGCUCACACGUAACCCCACUGGGAACUGCUUCCAACUGGAGUCUGUGGCAAAUGACUCACGGAACCCAGACCCUGCCUCAUCUGCCUGGGGAUGGCCAAAGCAACCCUAGGAGGUAGCUGAUACUAUUCCCAUUCUACAGAAGAUGGCACGAAGGCUCAGAGGGGUUAACAGACUGUCCUGAUGUCACACAGCCAUCAGACUGCAGAGCAAGGAUCUUCCGCCUGUAGUUCUACCUUGGGCUGCCCAGACUCCUCCAGGGCUUGUCGCUGGUGACCAGCUCAGAGUCCCAAACUUCACUUUAUGGAAUUACAUAAACAUGGCUAGGAUCUGCCUAUCCAAGAAAUCAUGAAGCAACUGUCUGCUUACGGAAAUCCUUUGUUGAAGGUGGCAUUCCCACAGACGGCAGGUACCAUUUCUUCUCCAUGUGUCUUUCUCGGGUGCAGAGAGCUCUAUUGGAAAUCAGUGGGAGGCCUCUGCCCAAUAACGAGUGGGGGGCAGGGGGUGAGAAGCAGGAUGUGAACCUAUUCCAUAAAGUGAAAACUGACAUCCUAACAAAUAAUUAGGGAAAAAUUGGAGGUUGUUUCCUCAGCUGAUCAUCACCGACGGAGCCAACUUUGGAUUAAACACUUCUGCUCAGUGGUUUUGACAUUCUCAGUCAGGCAUAUCUUGAUGAAAUUAGAGAUGCAGAAAAUAUUUUUUGAUGGAGUGUGGGGACAAAACAGCUAGGAGGCAAGCCAAUUCUGUGCGUAAACUUGUGCAGACUGAGAUAAAGAGGAAAAGAAAAGGCAGGACAACAAGGGGCGUGUGCUCGUGUGAUUGUGUGUGUCUAAGUGUGUGUGUAUACAUGAAGGAGGAUGAAAGCAAGUGACAGAAGAGAAAAGGCAGGCUGGGCUGAUACUAAUUAAUUAGACUUUAAGAUCCUGGCAGCAAGAGGUGUGUUUAUAAACAAUCUUCACUGAAACAUACCUUUCCAACUAUUAACUGUUUUAUUUGCCAGAAAUAGUCUCUGCUCUAAUUAUUCUGUACUUGUUUCAAUCCAAAAGUGGGGAGAGAAAUACUAAGUGACCAUAACCAUUCUUAUGCUAUAAUACAUAUCUCUGCACAGAAGUUAAAUGAAGUGAGGCCAAUUCAAACCAAUUCACAAAAGGAUUAGCUGGGGGACUAUUAGUCAGAAGACUUUCAAGCUAGUAGAAAAGAAAAAUUAGACCAAAAUAGAAGAAAUAAUAGAAUUCCAGCCAUUCAGGAAUCUCUUGGUGGUAUGCUUAUGCCAAGCCACCAGCAACCUGACGUUUUUCUAUUGGGAUUUAUUUAAGUCUAGAAAAGUCUGAUCUGUGAGGAUAAAAUAAAUAUUUUAUUGCAUAUUUUUUACAAAAUUAUUUCCCAUAUAUCUUUUCCGAGGAAGUGACUAGAGGAUGCACUCCAUUAAAAUGAAUUAAUAAAUAAACCAAGAAAGAAAAUGACAUGAGAUCCAAUAAACAAAAGACAUGACUCAGAAAUCAGGCAAAAGGACUUCCCAGGAUGACAGAAUGGGAAACUACCAGAACAAUUUACAGGGCAACCAGCUCAGAUGGGGCACUGGAUGACAACUUGUGGGGAAAAAAUAGAACACAGAGGUUACUUGAUGUUUUUAAAGGUACUUUAUGGCUCUAUUGGAGAGUACGGAUUUGAAUUAGUGAUAGAUACACAGAAAAAAAGCAAAUUGAAUAGGUGAAUGCAUAAACAAACUGUGGAACACGCAGACAAUGAACUAUUAUUCAGCAAUAAAAAGAAAUGAGUUAUCAAGACACAGAAAGACAUGGAGGAACCUUAAAUGCAUAUUGCUAAGUUUUAAAAGCUAGUCCAAAAAUGCUGCAGACAGUAUGAUUCCAAUUAUAUAUUAUAGAGAAGGCAAAACUAUCGAGAUCAGUGGUUGCCAACAGCUCAUGGACGCAGGGUAAAUUGGUGGAGCACAGGGAUGUUUUUAGGGUAAUGAAAAUGUCCUGUAUGACACUGUAAUAAUGGACAUGCAGCAUGAUGCAUUUGUUAAAACCCAUAAACUAGCCAGGUAUAGUGGCUUGCACCUAAAGUCUCAGCUACUUGGUAGGCUGAGAGAGGAAGAUCACUUGAGCCCAGGACUUCAAGACCAGUCUGGGUAAUACAGUAAUACCCUAUAAUAUAGUAAUACCCUAUCUCUAGUUUU